UACAGAGGGUGCAAGCGUUGUUCGGAAUUAUUGGGCGUAAAGCGCGUGUAGGCGGCUUUGCAAGUCGGGUGUGAAAGCCCUCGGCUCAACCGAGGAAGUGCGCCCGAAACUGCAGAGCUUGAGUACCGGAGAGGAUGGCGGAAUUCCCAAGUAGAGGUGAAAUUCGUAGAUAUGGGGAGGAACACCGGUGGCGAAGGCGGCCAUCUGGACGGAUACUGACGCUGAGACGCGAAAAGCGUGGGUAGCAAACGAGGA
rnacentral:rRNA from 1 species